rfam:Triticum urartu cultivar G1812 contig266888, whole genome shotgun sequence.
GAGGUACUCUCUCCGAAUGAAAAUACUUGUCAUCAAAAUGGAUAAAAAGUGAUGUAUAUAGAACUAAAAUACAUCUAGAUACAUCCCCUUUUAUCUAUUUUGAUGACAAGUAUUUCCGGACGGAGGGAGUAGCAA